UUCCGGUUGAUCCUGCCAGAGGCUACUGCUAUCGGGGUCCGACUAAGCCAUGCGAGUUGAGAGGGGUAAGCCCUCGGCAUAUUGCUCAGUAACACGCGGAUAACCUGCCCUUGGGUUUGGGAUAACCCCGGGAAACUGGGACUAAUACCGGAUAGAUCAAAGAAACUGGAAUGUUCUCUGAUCGAAAGCUCCGGCGCCCAAGGAUGGGUCUGCGGCCUAUCAGGUAGUAGUGGGUGUAACGUACCUACUAGCCUACGACGGGUAAGGGUUGUGAGAGCAAGAGCCCUGAGAUGGAUUCUGAGACAUGAAUCCAGGCCCUACGGGGCGCAGCAGGCGCGAAAACUUUACAAUGCGGGAAACCGUGAUAAGGGGACACCGAGUGCCAGCAUCAUAUGCUGGCUGUCCGGAUGUGUAAAAUACAUCCGUUAGCAAGGGCCGGGCAAGACCGGUGCCAGCCGCCGCGGUAACACCGGCGGCCCGAGUGGUGAUCGUGAUUAUUGGGUCUAAAGGGUCCGUAGCCGGUUUGGUCAGUCCUCCGGGAAAUCUGAUAGCUCAACUAUUAGGCUAUCGGGGGAUACUACCAGACUUGGAACCGGGAGAGGUAAGAGGUACUACAGGGGUAGGAGUGAAAUCUUGUAAUCCCUGUGGGACCACCUGUGGCGAAGGCGUCUUACCAGAACGGGUUCGACGGUGAGGGACGAAAGCUGGGGGCACGAACCGGAUUAGAUACCCGGGUAGUCCCAGCCGUAAACGAUGCUCGCUAGGUGUCAGGCAUGGCGCGACCGUGUCUGGUGCCGCAGGGAAGCCGUGAAGCGAGCCACCUGGGAAGUACGGCCGCAAGGCUGAAACUUAAAGGAAUUGGCGGGGGAGCACAACAACGGGUGGAGCCUGCGGUUUAAUUGGAUUCAACGCCGGG
rnacentral:rRNA from 1 species